UGGCAUCUACUGAUAGACCUACAGCCUGUCUUUUGUGGUCUCUGGGUUUGCACAUAGAUGCAACAUCAAAAUCUCUUGUUCUUCCCACUUGUCUUGCGGCAGCGUGGGUAGAAUACAGGGAAACAGGC
ensembl:snoRNA SNORA31 small nucleolar RNA SNORA31